UGCUGUGUAUGAACUUUCACCCAGCUGCAUUCUCCUGAUGAGGUGUUCAAAAAGCUGUGCUACAGCAGUGCAGUGUUUGGCAUCACUGGUUUUCAUUCAGCUGUGUCUGUUAAACCUGCUGUUUUUUCUGAAACAGUC